UUCCCUGUAGCGUAAUUGAUAGCGCAUUGGACUUCUAGUCCAAAUGCCGUGGGUUCGAAGCCCUCCUGGGAUG